AUACGGAGGGUGCAAGCGUUAUCCGGAAUCAUUGGGUUUAAAGGGUCCGUAGGCGGGCGAUUAAGUCAGAGGUGAAAUCCCACAGCUCAACUGUGGAACUGCCUUUGAUACUGGUUGUCUUGAGUUACAGUGAAGUAGAUAGAAUGUGUAGUGUAGCGGUGAAAUGCAUAGAUAUUACACAGAAUACCGAUUGCGAAGGCAGUCUACUAACUGUAUACUGACGCUAAUGGACGAAAGCGUGGGGAGCGAACAGGAUUAGAUACCCUUGUAGUCC
rnacentral:rRNA from 1 species